GCCAGCAGCCAUAUCACCCUGCAACUGGUAAUCCACUGAAGCUAAGCAGGUGUGAGCCUGGUCAGUACCUGGAUGGGAGACCUCCUGGGAAAAACUAAGGUUGCUGCUGGAA
rnacentral:rRNA from 1 species